UUUGCCCGUCAGGCCCUCGUUUUUUCGGCUGUAAAGAAAACUGCAAGAGCUCUCGGCGAAGCACUAUUCAGUGCAGAACUUGGUAAACCAAUUGGACAGAUCACCAUGGAAAGUCCAGUAAAGGUAAUAGAUCAGAUGAUUCGAGACCCAAAUGGAGAAAUGGAUGGGUGCUUGUGACUGCAUUAUAACCAAAGCUGGACUUGGAACAAUUGCGGAGGCCUUGAUAAGGGGCCUUCCAAUCAUGAAGCAAUGGCUAGGCAGUUGUAUUGCAGGCUCUGGUGUUGUGUUGGUGCAGUCGGUGUGUCCAAGGGCUAGAAAGGUUUUACUAAAACAAAAGUGUUGUUAGAUUUUUAAUUUUUUUGGUGUUGAAGUUCUGUAAAACUGAUCUUAUGUAGUAACAAACAACAGAUCUUGUCUUUUUUUUAAGAAAUGAUGUAAAUGAUCUAUGUGAUAUCAUAAAACUUGAUUCAGUUUUUAAUUUGGUUCA